AUCCUUGCAUCUCUGACAGUUUUUCCCAAUUUAAAUGAAACAAAUAUCUCUGUUAUGACAUAUGAGAAUGUUAUUUUUCAAGGAUUGAGGUUUACCAACACUAAAAGCAUCAAAGAAUGCUCAUUUCAGAACACAGUCACAUAUUCCAUACAUUAGCAAUUACACAUUCACAAGGUAGACUUGAUCUACAUUUUCAUCCACGAGUAGGUUCUGUUAUAUUAAUAUAGUUUUUUAAUUUUUGUAUUAUGGUUGUGUGCCAUAAUACAAAUUAUGUAUUAUGGUUGUGUGCCAGGCCCUGGUUUAAUUGACUUAUUAUUUCUAUUAAAUUAUAUCAUACAGUAGCAGCAAUGAUACCAUUCUUGUACUGCACAUAUGAAUAUCUCAGGGCUGCAGAAAACACGUGAACAUCCUGUGUCUCCUGUAGAUCUGUGUAGAUUGAGUCCCAACUGAGCCUGUCAUUAAUCUGUUCAGUGGUGGGUGUGUGUUUGUGAAAGGAAAAGUGCUCAUCUGCAAACUGUGUACCCAGUGGGUAUGUGUAUGCCCAUUCUGCCCAAUUCUGGACACUUGUGGUUAUUCUUCCCCUAAUAUUCUGGGAACCCUUGAGAAAGACAUGCAUCUAUUCAUAUGAUAAAGUAAAGCCCUAACUACUGUUUAGCUGAAGACAAAAAACAACCCUAGAAUCCAUAUAAUCAUAUCUAAAACAAGCCAUGAAUAAUAGGAUGUGAAAACAAAAAGUGGCCUCAUUUCCUGGCGUCAUUUAGAGUGAUACCAGCCACAGGCUGCCCUUGAAGAUCACCAGGGUUCAGGGAUUGUCUGUGAAGGGAGGGACUGUUAUCACUGUUCUGCUGGUUUCAGAUUUCAGCCAUCAUACACUUUGUCUACUUCUAUGUGGUAUGAAAACACAGUGACAGUAAUUUGUGCUUGGUGCUCACCAGACACACUGUAAUGUAGGGGGAUAGGUUAGGGUCUGCAGGAAUCUAGUUUAGGUACCGAUGAGCUCUACCAACAGGCCAAGUUACCGGGUAGGUUGGUUCACGUUCAGCAGCAUUUUCCCAGGUAAGGCAUGAAUGAGCAGUGAAAAGUUGUUGCUUUAGCUGCCCAUUACUCGGGACAAUAGAUAGUCUGCAAUCCAGCUGCACCACUUGGCACUUCGGUUCAAAGGUCCUUGGUUUCAUAUUAGUUGAAUAGAAAAGGUCAAUAAGAGGUGAGAGACAAUUGAAUGUGGAUAAAUAAUACAGGAAUGAGAGCUGCAAGUGUUUGACUCAUCUCUGCUGAUGUGAUAUUGAUCUGAACUAGAAAUGUCAAACCCUUCUCCGCCCAGAGGUUUAGAAAUGCUUCUGAUGUGUGUCAGUAAGAGAUAAGAAUCAGACCAAGAAUAUAUUAGCAGAUGCCAGAGGGAAUAAAGCAUAAACAACCCAAGAACAAUAGUUCCUGUGUGUCAGCUACAAAUAAAGUGUUCUUAUUUGGCAGAGCACGUUCUGCUUAUGCCUGAUCCUUCAGGGCAGUCUGGGCGUGCCAAAGACAUGGGAGGAGAGGUCAGGUACAAGGAGACUGCAUAAGGGUGAGGUGGCAGGUUCGUGGGACUGCACCUGUGCCCUCACGUGCAGAGGUGGAGGAAAGGAUUGAAGUCAAUGGACUUGCUCUACACUGAAUUUCCACCCCAUUUAUUUUAUGACUGGCCUUCAUAUUUUACCCUGAGAGCACCCAACUGCAUUUAUAAAGGAUUUUAGGCAUCAUGCUCCAACUUCCAAUUAAAGACUGGGUCUUCAAAGCCUCUGCUAUGCCAUGAUUUAACCCUCUAGAGGCAUCUCCCCAACACACUAGUUUUCCUUCCUGUAAAUUACUUUACAUUUUUCCCAUUAGACACAUGUGCAGCUUGACUUUACACUUGACAAGAAUUGUCCCUUCUGUAUAAUGCUUAUUCUUUGAUCUCAGAUGAAUAAAAUCAGCUUCAUUCGCCUAAUACAUAAAGCCUUGCACAAAAUGCAGUCAGAUCACAAAAGGACAGAGAAAGGAAAUCCUGUAGCCUGAAGGUUAAGGCAUUUUUCAUGACAAAGCAGAGUUACUUCUGCUGCAGUGAUUAUUUCUGUAUUUUAUAUCCUCUGAAAAAAAAAAUUGUCAGGAGAGACGGAUGCAGAAACCCAGCUAAGAUUGACUGAUCUUCUCCUCAAGCACAGGGUUUUGCUUCACAUCCCUGCUCCACCGUCUGACAGAAGAAGGAUUUGAACAUACAUCUCUGACAUUCAAGAAGGGUGUCAGUAUGUCGCCAUCUUCAAACAAGCUGGAAACAUGGGACAUUUGUCACAGAUUUUUCCUUUGAAGUCAAUACUAAAUUGAGGCCUGUCUGCAAUGUUCAAUCUGUAUUCCAAAGGAAAGAGCUCUUACAGAACUAUCUAGAGAAACAGGUCUUUUGCUGAAAUGUUCUCUGUUCGUCUCUUGCUGCAUCAGGACCAAGGUGGCAAUGUUUGCUGCUAUAAAACCAGUGAGAAUCAUCCACUUAUUUAAAUGUACUAGUUUCAGUCUUACCCGUGCUUUAUACCAGUGUACAAAAAAGGGGAUUUGUAUUCUUCAGCAUUUCAAUAUUAAUGAAAAAAAGUAAAAAAUUACUUACUUCAGUAAUUCCCAAAGAGUUUCCAUGUCAGUGUGAGAAAACUUAGGGGACUGAAUGUAGUUAAUCUUAGCUAAAAUCUCAACACUAUGUUUUAAUAAAGAUUCCCAAGUAAUUGUGACUUCAAGUCACUGCUCACGAUGGAUAACAUUUCCAGAGAAACAGGAAUGGUGCUGCAUCGGUGUUUUUGAUUUAGCCAGACUCCUUUGAUGGGAGAGAAGCAAGGGAGAGAGAAGAUGAAAUAAACCUUUAGACUCUGAAUCCUCUUGCCACACUGGUCAUAUGAGUCACUACAGAGAGAAUUUAUCCUGUCCUUCUGACAGUGUAAAGAUUUUACUAGUUUUAUUGUAAUUGUUCGUGCAACAUACACAAGUUUCUUUCUCUUUUUUUUUUUUCCUUUUUGUUUUUUAAUGUGAAGGGACUAUGCCAUAAGCACAAGAAAAGUCUGUAACAGCCACGAGAUUUUCCUUUUCUCUCAGAAAAAUACAUUAAACAGGAUUAGGGAAUCUUAAAAUAAUUUAAAAGGCUUCUUUCUAACUCAAGAAAAUGUUAUAUGAAACAUGCUUCCUUGAAAAGUAGGCUUUAUGUAGACCUUUAACUUUAGACUUUAAAUUUAGACCUGUAUAGUCACACAUAUUAAUACAAGAAUCUAUGCAAUGACAGUUCAGAGGUGUGCUUGAAUGCAUUCAUUGCUGAUAUGCUGGAUUUAUGGCAACUGGACCAGAGGUCUGUGAAAAUUUGCUUGUCAUUCCCAACAGGAUUGAAAUGCUUCUGCUGUUCAGUAGUCUUGUAUGCUUGUCACCAUUAAUGUUCCCUCUAAUUUAUUUCUCUGUGUGUGACAAAUGACCUCCUGAAUACCAAUGUGAAACUUGUAGCCCUAAUUCACAUGAUGCUGGAAAUGGAACAGCAAAAUAAAUGAGUUUGCAAUCCUCUUUCUUCAUUUGA